GCAACUAUAGCUUAAAUUAAAGCAUUGGUCUUGUAAGCCAAAGAUAGAUACAAACUUCUUAGUUGCU
rnacentral:tRNA from 1 species